GGCCGCGGGAAUUCGAUUCAGGCCUAACACAUGCAAGUCGAGCGGUAGAGAGAAGCUUGCUUCUCUUGAGAACAGCGGACGGGUGAGUAAUGCCUAGGAAUCUGCCUGGUAGUGGGGGAUAACGUUCGGAAACGGACGCUAAUACCGCAUACGUCCUACGGGAGAAAGCAGGGGACCUUCGGGCCUUGCGCUAUCAGAUGAGCCUAGGUCGGAUUAGCUAGCGGGUGAGGUAAUGGCUCACCAAGGCUACGAUCCGUACCUGGUCUGAGAGGAUGAUCAGU
rnacentral:rRNA from 1 species